rfam:Mus musculus chromosome 6, GRC primary reference assembly.
GGGGGAAUAGCUUAGGGGUAGAGCAUUUGAAUGCAGAUCAAGAGGUCUCUGGUUCAAAUCCAGGUGCCCCCU